rnacentral:rRNA from 1 species
AUGCCUCCCCCGAUCCCAUCUCUUCCACCUCCAGAGCGCCGCCACCUCCUGCCACGCCCCACCCCGCCUCGCCGCGCACCGCCGGCCGCCGCCGCGCGCCCCUCCGGCACGCCUACCCCUACCCCAAGUGCCCCCACACCCGCGGCCUUCCACCGCCGGCGACAGUCUACCCCGACUGUGUCUCUCCCAAGCCACCCGACCCCAAAUCGCUCAGGUGUCGGCGGCGGUGACAGCACAAGCAGCUGCCAUGAAGUUGCGCGGCCACCCCCUUGCCCCCUUCACCUCCUUCCUCCCACUUGCACACAUGAGAAGGAAUUGAAUCAGAGUCGGUCCCUCAAUCUAAACCAGGAGGAGCGCCCAUUGAACAGGAUGGUGUGCAGGUCGCGGAGAGUUGCAUCGGCAAGUGUCGGCUCAUAUCUUGAAGUGCCAUGGAGCAAAGCUUGUGAGGAUGCAGAGGCUGUUGGUGGUGUUGGACUUAUCGCAGGUUAG